rnacentral:rRNA from 1 species
UACGUAGGGAGCAAGCGUUGUUCGGAUUUACUGGGCGUAAAGGGCGCGUAGGCGGCAGAUUAAGUCAGCUGUGAAAUCUCCGAGCUUAACUCGGAACUGUCAGCUGAUACUGUUUUGCUAGAGUGCGGAAGGGGCAAUCGGAAUUCUUGGUGUAGCGGUGAAAUGCGCAGAUAUCAGGAGGAACACCAAUUGCGAAGGCAGCUCGCUGGGACGUUACUGACGCUGAGACGCGAAAGCGUGGGGAGCAAACAGG